ACUGCUCAGUAACACGUGGAUAACCUGCCCUAAGGAAGGGGAUAAUCCCGGGAAACUGGGGAUAAUACCCUAUAGGUUACAGAUGCUGGAAUGCUCUGUAAUUCAAAGUUCCGGCGCCUUAGGAUGGAUCUGCGGCCGAUUAGGUUGUUGUUGGGGUAAUGGCCCAACAAGCCAGUAAUCGGUACGGGUUGUGGGAGCAAGAGCCCGGAGUUGGAUUCUGAGACACGAAUCCAGGCCCUACGGGGCGCAGCAGGCGCGAAAACUUUACAAUGCGGGCAACCGUGAUAAGGGAACCUCGAGUGCCUGUAUAUGCAGGCUGUCCAGGUGUCUAAAGCACACCUGAAGAAAGGGCCGGGCAAGACCGGUGCCAGCCGCCGCGGUAAUACCGGCGGCUCGAGUGGUGGCCACUUUUAUUGGGCUUAAAGCGUUCGUAGCUGGGUUGUUAAGUCUCUUGGGAAAUCCGACGGCUCAACCGUCGGGCGUCUAAGGGAUACUGGUAAUCUUGGAACCGGGAGAGGUGAGGGGUACUUCGGGGGUAGGAGUGAAAUCCUGUAAUCCUUGAGGGACCACCUGUGGCGAAGGCGCCUCACCAGAACGGCUUCGACAGUGAGGGACGAAAGCUGGGGGAGCAAACCGGAUUAGAUACCCGGGUAGUCCCAGCCGUAAACGAUGCGCGUUAGGUGUAUCGACGACCACGAGUCGUCGAGGUGCCGAAGGGAAACCGUGAAACGUGCCGCCUGGGAAGUACGGUCGCAAGGCUGAAACUUAAAGGAAUUGGCGGGGGAGCAC
rnacentral:rRNA from 1 species